GCUUUUAAAGGAUAACAGCUCAUCCAUUGGUCUUAGGAACCAAAAACCCUUGGUGCAAAUCCAAGUAAAAGCU
rnacentral:tRNA from 1 species